GUGUCACCAGAGAGGAAAAGAAUAUCCUUGCUGUGCCAAGAAAGAAAAGACCAUGGAUCUACUAGUUGCAGAUUUCAGCAGUAAUGCCAAGGGGGCAAGAAGUGACCAGCAGAACAAUUAGGCCAUGGCAACAGAAGCCAACUACAACCCAUGUUCCAAUCUAUGACCUCCCUCUCCUGCUGGUACAAGGAUAUGAAUGUGGCUGUAGCAUCAUUUUUGGAAGCCAGAAUGGUAAUACUGAAAAUCACUGCUUGUCUCAAGAUCCAACUUCUGGAAAUCUCAACCAUUCUGAAUACAGCCAUCAUUCUUAAAAUUGAAGAGAACUGUUUUACAAGAUCUUGACUUGUAAAGAAACCAAGUUUAUUAAGUAUUCCUUAGAGCAAAGGAUGCAAUGUCAAGCAAGUUGUGAUACCUCAACUAUCUACAAUUUAACACCAAGGAAAGAACACUGUUUGGAGAAAUGAGAAAGAUUAUCAUCAGUGUCUUUCAGAAGUCAUCAAAAGAAGAAAAGGAGAAAAGAGAGGAGAAAGCAGAAAGAUCUGGAGUCUGGGAAGUUCAAGAGCAUGGCACCAACAUCUGGCAAGGGCUUUCAUUCUGCAUCAUCUCAUGGAGGAAAAUAAAAAGGCAAGUGAGUGUGAGAGAGCAAGAGAGCAAGAAAAGGAAAGGGGGUCAAACUCACCCUUUUAUCACGAAAACACUCUAUCGAUAACAGCAUUGAUCCAUUCAUGAGGGAAGACCCCUCAUGUCCUAGUCACCUCUUAAAGGUCCAACCUUUCAACACUGGUUGCAUUGGGGAUUAAGUUUCAACACAUGCUUUUUGGGUGGCAUAAUUAAACCAUAACACACUUGUUAUUAGGUCAGGAGAUUUCCCAAGGUCAGAACAGUGACAGAGCUAAGCCCUGAACUUUUGUGACCUUCAAACCAGGAUUGUUUCCACAAUUUGUCAUACAUGGAUAUUUAGAACAUACUUUAGAAGUGGAGGAAAGAAUAAAAUAAUUUGAAGAUGGAGUACCCAAAAGCUGUGCCAGACAAGUCCAUUGAAACUGUCCUUCACCCAAAUUUGAAUUAAAAAAAUUGUUUUUGCAUUGUGUGA
rnacentral:lncRNA from 1 species